rnacentral:lncRNA from 1 species
UGUUUUUUCUUGGCAGCAUUUUAAGAAAUGUCCAAUUGUGCUUCAUCAGCUUGCAACUGCAGCAGAAGGAGUUCGGACACAGUGUGAGAGGAUGCUGCCAAAGACCAAAAACAGUCAGCAACAAAAAGCCCAGACUGAUGACACCAGUGAUCUGAUCUGUUUUUGUGGAAAGAAGAUGAGUGACUCUACUGAACAUCUGUAAUACCCAGCUGCACACUGGCAUUCCAGUAAGAUUUGAUUGAUGAUGUACUUGAAUAUAGAUUUCCAAAUAAGGCCCAAGGCCAGUUUCCCCUCAUUUUGAC